AUUAUACUCCCUCCGUUCGGAAUUACUCGUCCAAGAAAUGAAUGUAUCUAGAUGAAUUUUAGUUGUAGAUGCAUCCAUUUUUGUGACAAGUAAUUCCGAACGGAGGGAGUAGGAU
rfam:Triticum aestivum genome assembly, contig: Triticum_aestivum_CS42_TGACv1_scaffold_527360_6DL